GUUUAUUAAAACACAAAUGUAACAGGGAUUACCAAAGAGAACUAUAUUUGGCUGAAAUUAACAUUGACACGCUUAAAUGAAAAAUAUACUCCAUAGGAAGAGUGAAUUGAGUCACAAAAUUAACAUCUUCAAAAAUGUUAUUUUAUCCCACUCUUAACCCCUUCCUCCCUCUUUCCUUACAGUGCUGUGAGGUCACAAGUAUCUCCCUCACCGGAGUUUUCCCCUGUUCGCUCUUCUUCACCACUCUCCUUCCUUCCAUCAGUCCUCUCUCCUUUCAUGUUAUACUGGCCUCCCUCGCUCCCACUCUUCCUCUUCAACGCCUCCUUCUUCUCAUCAUCCUCUAGGUUCUUGGCUCUCUCGCUUAGGUCAAUCCCGUCUAAACUGGAGUAGUCGUCUGAGGAAUCUCCUUCAUCCUGUCCCCCUCUCGCUCCUGCAGCAGCCUCUCCAUCUCCACUCUUCCCCCCCUCUCCCUCCUCCUCGUCCCCCUCCGCCACUCUCUUCCCGGGCCAGAGGCUGAGCCCCAGCCAAUCCUCCAGGCUUCUAACCCUGCCCCUCAUGCGCUCCCUGACGCCCAAUAACAGCCGAGGGGCGGAGCCAUCCUGGCCUGAGUGGCGGCUGUUCCACUUGUAGAAGCACAGCACGGUAAUCGCUAGGAGAAGAAUGAUGACCAGGACCACGAUGAACCCCGUAUUUAACGGAGCAGGUGUGGAUUGGUCAGUGGAGUUCCUGGUAUCAUUUAAAAGUCCACCUCUCGUGCUCGUCUUUUCAGUUUGUGUGUUCUCGUUGGAAGUUACAUUUGAGGCAGGCGUGGCUUCAUGGACGAAGAUCAAGAAGACCAGAGAGAGCAUGCUCAGCGCCAGGGUGAUAUUGGCCUUCAUUGUGACUGAGAGAGAGAGACAGAGAGAAAUGGAGGAUAAGGUGAUGUCAGCCUAACAUGGUGGGUGAUAGGAAGAAAUGUAACACAGGCCUAAAUGACUCAUAUGAGGUGGAGAAUGAGAACAAGAAACAGAACACCAAAGUAGGUUACAACGUAUUUGCUGUUUUAAGUGUACAAUAAAAGGGACUUAAUAUUUAUGUUAAGAUUUAUUUCAUGCAUCGGAAACACAAAGGUGUGCUCGCAUGCACACGCACGCAUGCACCGACACACAGGAAAUGGCGGUGUGCUCCAGAAGCUGUUAACAGGAACUAAAGGCUGCUUUUGCGGCUGAGCCACCUGUCCUGCAUCCUCCCUCGUUUUGCAAACUGAACCACCAUUUGACAACGCAUGCAACUAGCAGAAGAAGGUAGAACGCCCAGUCUAAACAUUCACAUUACUAUCGCAUAUUCAAAAUGGCUGAAUUUUCCCUUAAGAAAGCAGAAACACUAAGUAACCGAAGAUUUAGACCACUGCAAAGCCUUUAACCUUCUCUACAUUCCUGAACAACGGCACACACAGAAGAGGUCAAUAACCACUGUAUGGCCAAUUUACUCUCUUUCAUUCAAUUCAAGUAAUAAAGCAGAACUAUAGACCAUAUAACCUCAUCUGUUCUGUCAGUAUAAUCUCUGUGGUGCUUCAAUUGCUGAGCUGUGUUGUGGUAACCAGGCCCAGCCCACAGAGAACUAUUAGAAUCCAACACUCAAACCAACAUGAAUUUCUAAAACGGACAACUGAUUGUGUCUGCAUGUUUCCAACUGAUAAAACAAAGUUGGAUUGGAUUAGAAUGACUAUGUCCUUCCUCAGGAGUCUAAAUCCUUCUUGAACACAACCAAAACCAUGCUAAAUUUGCUUGGUCAAUUCUCAACUGUGAAAAAACGGAAAUCAAGAACAUCAAUGGAAAUAUUAAGUCCUGCUUAAAUAGGAAGUGGAAUACUGGAUGAGAAAAGAAGAAAUCAAGUGUGGUCACAUAAUGUGCCACCCCAAACAAUGUCAUGUUCAGAUAGCCUAGUGGAAAGGUUGCUGGAUCAAAUCCCCAAGCUGUUAGGUAAAAAAUUUGUUCUGCCCCUGAACAAGGCAGUUAACCCACUGUUCCCGGUAGGCUGUCAUUGUAAAUGAGAAUUUGUUCUGAACUGACUUCCCCGUGUUAAAUAAAGUUUUUUUUAAAUGUUUUUGAAGUGGUGGGGUUGAGAGGGGUUGGGGGCGAAAGGUGUGGACAUCGGGAGGAGAUGUAGAAAUGGACAACAGAGAAAAGGAGAGGAUGGAGAGAUUGGAGGAAAGGAUCAACGACAAAGGCACAGAGAAAGACGGUCAGAGUGAGCAGAAAGCAUCAAACAUGACAGAGAAAACAAAGGCUAAUCAAGCAAAUAAACAUGACAUGAAAUCAAAGUGUUCAACUCACCUGAUCAAUGUGAUCGAUCGGUUCUGAAGAUGACAGAGAAAUACAACUGAAUGAGACGGAGAGAAAAGAUUGAAAGAGCGGGGGCUCUUGCAGAUGUGUACAAAAAUCAGUUAGAGAGAGAGAGAGAGAGAAAAAAGAACAGAACAGGGAGGGAAGGAAGGAAGGUGGGUGGGGGUAAAACACGGUGAGACAGACGUUUGUGAGGCUGCAGAGGAGAGAGAGAGUGAGAGAUGGUUCAGAUAAAUCACAAAAAAAUCUGUGAUAAAAAUACUAUCAGAGAGAGAGACAAAAUGUGUAUGAUUUGAAUUUUGUUUUAUCAGCCAGGUGAAAAGAUGGUGGGGAAAAUAAGUGGGUGAACUGACCCUAGAUUAUUGGUUUGAUUAAAAAAGAUGAUUGGUUUAAUUCAUUGGUGUAAAGUACUUAAGUACAAAUACUUUAAAGUACUACUUAAGUAGUUUUUGGGCGUAUCUUUACUUUACUAUUUAUAUUUUUGAUUACUUUUACUUAAUUCCUAAAGAAAAUAAUAUUCUUUGUACUCCAUACAUUUUCCCUGAAACCCAAAAGUACUCGUUACAUGUUGAAUGCUUAGCAGGACAGGAAAAUAGUCCAAUUCACGCACUGAACAAGAGAACACAUGGUCAUCCCUGCUGCCUCUGGUAUGGCAGACUCACGAAAAACAAUCGUUUGUAAUUGAUGUCUUCUUAGUGUUGGAGUGUGCCCCUGGCUGUCUUUACAUAAUAAAAAAAACAGAAAAGGGU
ensembl:lncRNA